CUGCUGGCCACUGCACAAGAU
rnacentral:miRNA from 1 species